CUGAGCGGUGUUUAGAUGUACCGGGAAAAUCUUAUCUGAUUCAUCGGUUACACUCCCCUGUCACCAGUGAUUCUUUUUUGCUGACAUUCUGAAAAAGUAUUGUGUAGUCCCUGUGACAAGAAAUAUAGAAAAAUAAUGAAAAAUAUAAACAGUUUCAAUAGAAAUGAGCGACAAAACAAGAUAAACAGAAUACAACAAGGCCUAAAUGGUCAAAUAUCUUGGUUUUUAUGAUCUUAGUCAGGUCCUGCAAGUCUUUACUGAAGAGGAAACUUAUUUGUUAAUACUUUUCUACAUAAUGUGCUAAUUGGAUUAAUUAAAUUAACUCAAUUGUGUGUUUUUCUGGAAAAAGAAAUAGAAAAAAUUCUACAAAAUUGCUAUAAACAAAAUGGAGUACUAUCAAAGAUGCACAAGAACACAAUGGUGUAAAAUGUAACAACCUACAUAUUCACUGAUGGAUUAUGGAGAAAUUAAGAAAAAAAAUAGUAUCUUUGUCAUGUUUGUUGUUGAAAUAAACACAUGCGUUAUCCAUUCAUGUACAUAAUAUUAUGUACAUGGCUCUCCAUCAUAUCAAAUAUACAGAGAAGAUGUUUGAAGAACAAGUUGCCAAAAUUUAUUCAACCAAUUGAAGGAAGAUGUCUUGUGGAUGAAAUUAUUUAUGCACUGAACUGUUAUG